AUGCCGGCGCCGCCAGCGCCACCGGCGACACAAGUGCCUCGAACAGAAAUUUUGGAAAACCAUGUUAGCAACUUGAAUCUUCUGAGCUGGAAUUGCCGAGGGUGUGGAAACUCUAGUACAAUACAGGAUCUUGUGAGCUUGGUGCGGGUUCAUUCUCCUACUAUUGUAUUUCUUUGUGAAACUAGGCAAAGGAAAGAUAGGAUGAAAAGAUAUCGGUCUCGCUUAGGUCUAAGUGGUUUCGAAGCAGUCAACAACAAUGGUCUUAGUGGUGGCUUAGCUCUUUUCUAG
rnacentral:rRNA from 1 species